rnacentral:rRNA from 1 species
CUCUUUAAGAUUUUAGAAUUUAAAGUAGCGCCUGCUCCAUGAUUUAAAUAGCCGCAGACAACUGUGCUAAGGUAGCAUAAUCAUUAGCCUUUUAAUUUAAGGAUAGAAUGAAUGGCUAAACGAAACAUAUACUGUCUCAAUAUAAAUAUUGAAAUUACCUAAAAGGUAAAAAGGCCUUUAUAGAUAAAUAAGACGACAAGACCCUAAUAAACUUAUUUAUUUUGCUGGGGCGGCAAUCAAAAUAAACCUUAGAUAUUUUUAUUUAAAUCCUUUUCACUUAAUUUUCAAGUUACUAUAGGGAUAACAGCGCAACCUUUUUUAAGAGUCCAAAUCUAAAAAAAGAAUUACGACCUCGAUGUUGAAUUAGCUUAACAAUAUCUUUUGAAGCAAAAAUCUUAUUCUGUUGGUCUGUUCGACCAUUAAAUAGCU